rnacentral:tRNA from 1 species
GGUUGGGUGGCGCAAUGGUAGCGCGUUGCUUUCCGGUUCUCACCUUGGAAUAUUGGCAAAGGUUCUGGGUUCGAGUCCCAGCUUGAUCG